AGUGAACGCUGGCGGUAGGCCUAACACAUGCAAGUCGAACGGCAGCACAGUAAGAGCUUGCUCUUACGGGUGGCGAGUGGCGGACGGGUGAGGAAUACAUCGGAAUCUACUUUUUCGUGGGGGAUAACGUAGGGAAACUUACGCUAAUACCGCAUACGACCUACGGGUGAAAGCAGGGGAUCUUCGGACCUUGCGCGAUUGAAUGAGCCGAUGUCGGAUUAGCUAGUUGGCGGGGUAAAGGCCCACCAAGGCGACGAUCCGUAGCUGGUCUUAGAGGAUGAUCAGCCACACUGGAACUGAGACACGGUCCAGACUCCUACGGGAGGCAGCAGUGGGGAAUAUUGGACAAUGGGCGCAAGCCUGAUCCAGCCAUACCGCGUGAGUGAAGAAGGCCUUCGGGUUGUAAAGCCCUUUUGUUGGGAAAGAAAAGCAGCAGGUUAAUACCCCGCUGUUCUGACGGUACCCAAAGAAUAAGCACCGGCUAACUUCGUG
rnacentral:rRNA from 1 species